UACAGUGUGACACAAUGGUUUGAGCAUUGGACUAUAUCUCUGGAGACCAGGGUUCAAUUCCCUGCUCAGCCA